rnacentral:tRNA from 1 species
CGCGGUGCUGGCCGAGGAGGCCGCGGCCUGCGGCGCCUGGCUGGUGCAUUACUCCACCGACUACGUGUUCGACGGCGCGGGCAGCGCGCCC